rnacentral:misc_RNA from 1 species
ACGAGUUAGGGUCUCUCCAGGCCCGACCUCCCAACCCUUUGUUUACCGAACCUCUGUUGCUUCGGCGGACCCGUCUCACGGCCGCCGGGGGACCGCCGACAGGCGUCCUCUGGCCAGCGUCCGUCGAUAGCCAAACAUUUAAACCCUGAAUAAAUCGUGUCUUGUGUCUAAGUCUAUGAUUAAAUUAAAGCA